CUAGACUUUUACUGUCUAUGCUUGACACACAUCACAGCUCCGCGAUGCGCGUUAGGUCGCCAGUGCAUUCGGUCGUGUGCGCAGCCCGUUAAGCGUCGGUGUCUGGAUCCAGCCGUCCGUCCAUGAGAAGCGCAGCGGCGGCGCUGGUUCCAUGUGUGGUCGCGGUGCUGCUCCACUGGCUCGGCUGGACGGACAGAACUGCGCUCCUGUCGGGCUUCGGCUCCGCAGACAAUCUUGUGGAAAGCUCAGGAGCUGGAGACUUUAUGAGCACACCAAUCAGAAGCUGAAGAUGUGCAGCUGCAGCGAGGAGGAUCUUCACAGCAGUCCUCAAACAUGUACCAGCUUCAGUGUGUGUUCAGCAUGAGGGCUGAGGAGUGUGAUGGAGAGGAGAAGAGGCUGAUGCUGGAUCACUGCACGCUUCACAAUCAAUUCAGUGGAACGCGAGCUGAAGUGAACGGUGGAUGAGGAGCGAUCUGUUGGCAGGCGUCCGUGCCGUGUGAUGAUGUGCUCAGUGCAUGUGCGGUCAUGCUGACGGCUCAAGAACAGAUCACAGACAGAUAAACCACGCCGGGAGAAAUACUCGACUAUCAAGCAGCCCUGCGUGCACAUACACUCAUGGCUCUUGAGGCUUUUAUUCACCCCCGGAGCCGUGUGAGGCACUUUUUAUGAUGGAUGGACGCA